UAAAUUUGAAUUUGAAACUCUGUUAUAUAUCAGUUACUCAUCAUGAUGCUGAAGCUGGUCCUUCUACAGAGAAAGUAAAAGAGGGUUUGAUGAUAGUAGAGAAAGAAUGUGUACAAGAAGCAGCUGCAACAACUUUUGCAGCAGCAGAUUCAUUGGUGGAUCAAAAUGAAGAGAAAGAGAAAACAAGUGAUAAUCGCUUAGACUUUGACUUGAAUCUUUCUUUGUAA
rnacentral:lncRNA from 1 species